rnacentral:rRNA from 1 species
UAAAGAGCUCGUAGGUGGUUUGUCGCGUUGUUCGUGAAAUCUCACGGCUUAACUGUGAGCGUGCGGGCGAUACGGGCAGACUUGAGUACUGCAGGGGAGACUGGAAUUCCUGGUGUAGCGGUGGAAUGCGCAGAUAUCAGGAGGAACACCGGUGGCGAAGGCGGGUCUCUGGGCAGUAACUGACGCUGAGGAGCGAAAGCGUGGGGAGCGAACAGGAUUAGAUACCCUGGAUAGUCCACGCGCGUAAACGGUGGGUACUAGGUGUGGGUUUCCUUCCUUGGGAUCCGUGCCGUAGCUACCGCAUUAAGUACCCCAGCUGGGGAGUACGGCCGCAAGGCUAAAACUCAAAGAAAUUGACGGGGGCCCGCACAAGCGGCGGAGCAUGUGGAUUAAUUCGAUGCUACGCGAAGAACCUUACCUGGGUUUGACAUGCACAGGACGCCGGCAGAGAUGUCGGUUCCCUUGUGGCCUGUGUGCAGGUGGUGCAUGGCUGUCGUCAGCUCGUGUCGUGAGAUGUUGGGUUAAGUCCCGCAACGAGCGCAACCCUUGUCUCAUGUUGCCAGCGGGUAAUGUCCGGGGAUCUCGUGAGAGACUGCCGGGGUCAACUCGGAGGAAGGUGGGGAUGACGUCAAGUCAUCAUGCCCCUUAUGUCCAGGGCUUCACACAUGCUACAAUGGCCGGUACAAAGGGCUGCGAUGCCGCGAGGUUAAGCGAAUCCUUUUAAAGCCGGUCUCAGUUCGGAUCGGGGUCUGCAACUCGACCCCGUGAAGUCGGAGUCGCUAGUAAUCGCAGA